UACAGAGGGUGCGAGCGUUAAUCGGAAUUACUGGGCGUAAAGCGUGCGCAGGCGGUUUGAGAAGUCCGAUGUGAAAGCCCCGGGCUUAACCUGGGAACGGCGUUGGAAACUCUCAAGCUUGAGUGUGGCAGAGGGGGGUGGAAUUCCACGUGUAGCAGUGAAAUGCGUAGAGAUGUGGAGGAACACCGAUGGCGAAGGCAGCCCCCUGGGCUAACACUGACGCUCAGGCACGAAAGCGUGGGGAGCAAACAGG
rnacentral:rRNA from 1 species